rnacentral:rRNA from 1 species
UACGUAGGUGACAAGCGUUGUCCGGAUUUACUGGGCGUAAAGAGCGCGCAGGCGGUCGAUUAAGUCGAAUGUGAAAGCCCCCGGCUCAACUGGGGAGGGUCAUUCGAUACUGCUCGACUUGAAGGCAGGAGAGGGUAGUGGAAUUCCCGGUGUAGUGGUGAAAUGCGUAGAUAUCGGGAGGAACACCAGUGGCGAAGGCGACUACCUGGCCUGUUCUUGACGCUGAGGCGCGAAAGCUAGGGGAGCAAACGGG